rnacentral:rRNA from 1 species
AGAGUUUGAUCCUGGCUCAGAACGAACGUUGGCGGCGUGCCUAACACAUGCAAGUCGAGCGCGAACGAUUCCUUCGGGGAUCUAGUAGAGCGGCGAACGGGUGAGGAACGCGUGGGUAAUCUGCCCUUUGGUGGGGAACAACCACGGGAAACUGUGGCUAAUGCCGCAUGAGCUCCCGAUCUCCGCGGAGAACGGGAGGAAAGCAUGCCUCUGCUUCAAGCAUGCGCCAGAGGAGGAGCCCGCGUCCCAUUAGCUAGUUGGUGAGGUAACGGCUCACCAAGGCAACGAUGGGUAGCCGGCCUGAGAGGGUGAUCGGCCACACUGGGACUGAGACACGGCCCAGACUCCUACGGGAGGCAGCAGCAGGGAAUAUUGCACAAUGGGCGAAAGCCUGAUGCAGCGACACCGCGUGCGGGAUGAAGGCCCUCGGGUUGUAAACCGCUUUCAGGAGGGACGAAAAUGACGGUACCUCCAGAAGAAGGCCCGGCCAACUACGUGCCAGCAGCCGCGGUAAUACGUAUGGGCCAAACGUUGUCCGGAUUUAUUGGGCGUAAAGGGCUCGUAUGCGGUUCAACCAGUCGAUCGUGAAAGCCCGGGGCUCAAUCUCGGGACGCCGGUCGAAACUGUUGUGACUUGGGUCCGGUAAAGGUGAGUGGAAUUCUCGGUGUAGCGGUGGAAUGCGCAUAAAUCGCUAGGAAC